AUUGAACGCUGGCGGCAGGCCUAACACAUGCAAGUCGAGCGGCAGCGGGAAAGUAGCUUGCUACUUUUGCCGGCGAGCGGCGGACGGGUGAGUAAUGCCUGGGAAAUUGCCCAGUCGAGGGGGAUAACAGUUGGAAACGACUGCUAAUACCGCAUACGCCCUACGGGGGAAAGCAGGGGACCUUCGGGCCUUGCGCGAUUGGAUAUGCCCAGGUGGGAUUAGCUAGUUGGUGAGGUAAUGGCUCACCAAGGCGACGAUCCCUAGCUGGUCUGAGAGGAUGAUCAGCCACACUGGAACGGAGACAAGGUCCAGACUCCUACGGGAGGCAGCAGUGGGGAAUAUUGCACAAUGGGGGAAACCCUGAUGCAGCCAUGCCGCGUGUGUGAAGAAGGCCUUCGGGUUGUAAAGCACUUUCAGCGAGGAGGAAAGGUUGAUGCCUAAUACGUAUCAACUGUGACGCUACUCGCAGAAGAAGCACCGGCUAACUCCGUGCCAGCCGCCGCCGUAA
rnacentral:rRNA from 1 species